GCAAGUAUACAAAAUAUAAUCCUCACCUAUGGAAGAACAUAGGUAGAUGAGGAAGCACACUCAACCUCAACCGCAGAAACAGCAGAUUGAGGGAGGCAAGAGACCUCAAAAGAGAAAACUUCACUUAUAAAAAAUAGGUAGAAGAGAUGACUCUCAAAACCCGCCACAGGGAAGGGGACUCGAACAUUGCUCGGAGAUAACUCAGGCAAGCCGUCAAGGUGGGCAAGCAGGGUUCUGCACGAAAAUCGGGCUAGGCAGGUGCGCAAGGAGUAUGCUUCGGCUAGGACGAACCGGACAAUAGUUAGCAAAAGCGCGUGAAAACCUCCGUGGAAGCAUAGAUACAACCUCGCAGGCGUCGAAAGGGGGGGAAUACUGGUGAGAGAGGAUCUCGCAUCCUGG
rnacentral:lncRNA from 1 species